UACGGAGGGGGCUAGCGUUGUUCGGAAUUACUGGGCGUAAAGCGCACGUAGGCGGCUUCGCAAGUCAGAGGUGAAAGCCCGGGGCUCAACCCCGGAAUUGCCUUUGAGACUGCGUCGCUCGAAUCCGGGAGAGGCGGGUGGAAUUCCGAGUGUAGAGGUGAAAUGCGUAGAUAUUCGGAAGAACACCAGUGGCGAAGGCGGCCCGCUGGACCGGCAUUGACGCUGAGGUGCGAAAGCGUGGGGAGCAAACAGG
rnacentral:rRNA from 1 species